ACGGAAGGCAGCAGUGGGGAAUAUUGCACAAUGGGGGAAACCCUGAUGCAGCGAUGCCGCGUGGAGGAAGAAGGUUUUCGGAUUGUAAACUCCUGUCUUAAAGGACGAUAAUGACGGUACUUUAGGAGGAAGCUCCGGCUAACUACGUGCCAGCAGCCGCGGUAAUACGUAGGGGGCGAGCGUUGUCCGGAAUGAUUGGGCGUAAAGGGCGCGUAGGCGGCCCGGUAAGUCUGAAGUGAAAGUCCUGCUUUUAAGGUGGGAAUUGCUUUGGAUACUGUCGGGCUUGAGUGCAGGAGAGGUUAGUGGAAUUCCCAGUGUAGCGGUGAAAUGCGUAGAGAUUGGGAGGAACACCAGUGGCGAAGGCGACUAACUGGACUGUAACUGACGCUGAGGCGCGAAAGUGUGGGGAGCAAACAGGAUUAGAUACCCUGGUA
rnacentral:rRNA from 1 species